rnacentral:rRNA from 1 species
AUUGAACGCUGGCGGCAGGCUUAACACAUGCAAGUCGAGCGGGGAAGGUUGCUUCGGUAACUGACCUAGCGGCGGACGGGUGAGUAAUGCUUAGGAAUCUGCCAUUUAGUGGGGGACAACAUUCCGAAAGGAAUGCUAAUACCGCAUACGUCCUACGGGAGAAAGCAGGGGAUCUUCGGACCUUGCGCUAAAUGAUGAGCCUAAGUCGGAUUAGCUAGUUGGUGGGGUAAAGGCCUACCAAGGCGACGAUCUGUAGCGGGUCUGAGAGGAUGAGCCGCCACACUGGGACUGAGACACGGCCCAGACUCCUACGGGAGGCAGCAGUGGGGAAUAUUGGACAAUGGGCGGAAGCCUGAUCCAGCCAUGCCGCGUGUGUGAAGAAGGCCUUAUGGUUGUAAAGCACUUUAAGCGAGGAGGAGGCUACCUAGAUUAAUACUCUAGGAUAGUGGACGUUACUCGCAGAAUAAGCACCGGCUAACUCUGUGCCAGCAGCCGCCGUAAUAC